ensembl:lncRNA
UCUCAUCCUCAUUGUGCAGAUCCCGAAUGAAAACCUGUCAGCUUGCAUUCUCUCAGAAGACCAACAGACUCUGAGUGGCCAUAUCCUCCUUCAUGCAGGAUUUCAGCUGGACACUCCAAACUACAAGAAGGGGCCGUUUUAUACAUCUGUGUAGUGGUGUCAGUGUCUUUAUUGUUCCGUAUGAAACAGUAGCUGUACAAGAUGGCUCAUUUUAUUUGCCCAGGCACUACACAGUGUGUUAGCACCAAAUCUGCAAAUACUUCUCCAACUCUUAGAGGAUUGAAUAAGAUCACCACAACUAUGCAACAAUAAUAUAUGUAUAUAUUUUAUAAUAUACAUUUAUAUAUAUAUAUAUAUAGUAAAACACAUUUUUUGGAAAAGGUUAUUUUAAUUGUACGCUGAAGGAGCUAGGUCUAUAGGCUAGCAACUCUCACCACAAUGUGCAGAAAAACGGACAAUGAAGCAGAGAAGUGGCCACUUUGAUAGCCCCUCAGAGCCCAGGGCCUGUACCCCUUUUGUCUCUGCCUUCUGUCUUUGGCUUCCCCAGCCCCCGUCUCUGCCCCCCUCUCACACAGCCAUGGUGAGGCAUCAGGCCCAGGGGUGGGGGGGCAUCCUCAAGGGGGGGUUGGGUGGUUGUUGGUGCCACUAGUAUAUGAUUUGCUCAGGAUCUUAUAGAUGCAGGGGGGGGGGGGGGGUCACAGGUUCCACUUCAACAUGCACUUCUGCUGUGAAGGCCCUGACUGUUGUAACUAAGUUUAUAGGUUACAUUUGAAGCACUUUGAGUUAAUUAUUUGACUACUGAUUUAAGUCAGAGAAAGCUGACAAAAUGUUGUAAAAAGAGUGGGAAUUGAUGGACAGAGUGAUCAUAAGAAGAAAGGAAAGAAGAUUGAGCAAGAGUGACAGGCUCUUUGGUAUGGCAGUCAGAGCACAUACUCAUGUGUAGUGACACAUCGUAGCACAUCGUCACACUGUAUCGUAGCACAUCGUCACACUGCCCUCACCUUCGGGAAGCCACCCUCGCGCUUCACGCACACAGGCUUUCCUCGUGCAUCCACCAACCGUACUUCUCCCAUCCAGAGCGCCCCACACACAAGUGCUUCACCCAUCUAUGGGGUCCCUCACACAGGGGUCAACCUACCUAGGGGUCCCUCACACGGUUUUACGGGCACGCCUCCGAUGACCUCGCGGCAAGCCAUCCGACUUCUGACACCAUUUGUAGCGAAGGAAGAGCAUAGUCACCCCACCCGGACUUAAACCCGGGUCUACAGGGUGCCAAACAUGCACUCUGACCGCAACGCCAAAGAGCCAGGCUCGUUGGUAUGGCAGUCAGAGCACAUACUCAUGUGUAGUGACGGCACAUCGUCACACUAACCUUUGCACUUUAUCCUGCCAAUUAACAGGAGUAUAUCAUUAACAGCGAUCGUAAAACAUGGGUCUUGCUUUAUGGGUUUUUACUUUUUAAGUAGGAAGAAGAUUGCCGAUAGAGCGUGCGAUCACGGCAGUCAGGUGUUUGUGGAAAUGGGCCAGGCGUUUUCCCUAAUUUCUUUCUCUUCUUCAGGAUAGGAGAGAUUGGACUGCAAGGUCUUGAGGUGUGUUGAUGGUAACUUGACAUUUUAACCACGAUUGCUGACUAGUCUCAGUUUAAAAAAAUACAUCUGGUCAUCUAUUAGGUAAGUCUGUACCUUUAAUACUCGAAACCAACAACAUAAACCCUUUAUGGUUAUACAAACCUUUGUUUAGUUCUUCCCUUUGCAAUACUUUCAUGUUCCCUUUCGGGGUGAAUAGUGAAUUCUAACUGAAAGUAAAUGCACCAGUGCAUGCAAAGGAAAAGUAGAAGUGAUUGCUAGGGUAAUUGAGGUGGUUGCUAUGUUUGUUGCUAGGGCAUUGCUUGGUAGUGAUAGUGGUUGCUAUGGUAAUUUAAGUGAUUGCUAAGCUGGAUGCUAGGUAGUUGCUAGUGUAGUCAUGUUGGUUGAAAGUAAGUCAGAAAAAAUAAGACAUAAAAGGUUGGAAAAAUAGUGGGAAUUGAUACACAGAGUGAUCCUAGGAAGAAAGGCAAGAAGAGUGAACGAGAGUGGCUAUGGAUAAAGACAGAGUGAAGAAGGAGUUGUAACCCAGGUUAAAAAAAACAUGAUUUAGUUCAUAAAAAAGUGAAUAAAUAGUUGAAUAAAUAAUAUU